AUUGAACGCUGGCGGCAUGCCUUACACAUGCAAGUCGAACGGCAGCAUGGGUGCUUGCACCUGAUGGCGAGUGGCGAACGGGUGAGUAAUGCAUCGGAACGUACCCGGAAGUGGGGGAUAACGUAGCGAAAGUUACGCUAAUACCGCAUAUUCUGUGAGCAGGAAAGCGGGGGAUCGCAAGACCUCGCGCUUCCGGAGCGGCCGAUGUCGGAUUAGCUAGUUGGCGGGGUAAAGGCCCACCAAGGCAACGAUCCGUAGCGGGUCUGAGAGGAUGAUCCGCCACACUGGGACUGAGACACGGCCCAGACUCCUACGGGAGGCAGCAGUGGGGAAUUUUGGACAAUGGGCGCAAGCCUGAUCCAGCCAUGCCGCGUGAGUGAUGAAGGCCCUAGGGUUGUAAAGCUCUUUUGGCGGGGAAGAUAAUGACGGUACCCGCAGAAUAAGCCCCGGCUAACUUCGUGCCAGCAGCCGCGGUAAAACGUCUA
rnacentral:rRNA from 1 species